ACUUCAACAGCAGCCAGUGAUCUUCAUCCUGACACUGCCAACACUCGCCUCCAACUAAAAGAUCCCAGGAUUUUUGCAUUCUACGAGGAGAGUGGGAGAGCGGCCGUGCCAGCAACUUGAGGGUUCCAGGUUCGAUCCCCGCUUCCGCCAUCCUAGUCACUGCCGUCGUGUCAUUGGGCAAGACGCUUUACCCACCUGCUCCCAGUGCCACCCACACUGCUUUAAAUGCAACUUAGAUAUUGCCUUUCACUAUGUAAAGUGCUUUGAGUCACUAGAGAAAAAGCGCUAUAUAAUUCACUUCAGUUACAUAAAAAUGGAGAAGGGUGCUGGUAACAACUGCCGUCAGUUGUAAGUAGACAUUUGUCACUUAUUUUGAACUACAGGACGUCUAAUGUUAUGUCCAAUGUUAAUGUGUCCUUUUUCUUCUUCAUGAUGUUUUUCCUCAGUUAUCCAGUAAGUGCGGACAAAAAACUUCUCGCCAGAACCAUGUGACACUUUACCCGUCACUUAACAUCAACAUGGAGGACGAAAAUAAGGAUAUGUAAGGGAAUGUUAAGAGUGAGAAACACACAUUACUUGGAUUGAUUGUGACAGUAGCUCAUUAGAUCCCAGUUUUAUUUGUGUUGUAAAGGAACACGUCUAUGAUCCAACAUGCCACGCUGGCUUUCUGGAAGGUAAGCUGAGGAAUAUCCGCCGAAAACGAAGGGAUGAUCGGUGCCGUUAUUGCAGAAGGGGUGGCUCAUCUGAAGUCACUGUUGGACUUGAAGAAGUUACAGAAAGUGAUGAGUCUGUCCAAGAAUGGAUAACUGUGAUCAUAAGGAUGAAGCCUAGUCCGGAGAACCUUUCUUCCAUCAAGAUGGGUAAGGACAAAACCUACUUCCACCCAAGAUACUGGAUAUCUAAUCAGUCACCUACUCUGGCAGAGAUUGUUGAGAACUACCCUUGUUUCAUUGAUGUACCAUAUCUGGUAAGUCAGUAAAUGUAAUCACCACCUGCACUCAAAUGGAUUUGCAUAUAACCUUAUCUAAUCACCCUUGUCUUGUCCUGUUGGUAAACCUUAACAGAUCGACAGUUUGAGAAGAUGUUUCCAUACAAGACAGACAUCUUUCUACACAAAUGGGACCAAAGUUGUUGAAGCUGGCUGCUCUUGAAGGAAAAGAUGAACCACCAGAAGCUGAGAGUGCUGAAUGAAGGUGCUGUAGAGCACUGAAGAUGCUCACACAUGAUCUGCCCCCUACUGGGUCAAGAAGAUCUAUGGGAUGGACAAAAUGCAGCAUCAAGUCAGUGCUGUCCUACAUUAAACAACCAGGAAGAAGCUUCCAUGACCUCCUACAAACCACUGACCCUGCUCCAGUGAUGCAACCUGGUCUGGUGAGCAUUGGACAUUGCAGCACAACAUCAACACAAUAUGUCCUCGUGGCUGCCCAUGUCAUUCCACUCCAGGAAGAGGGUCUCACCUGCAGUCUGGACUAACUCUUCAAAUUGUAUUGGGCUUGUAACCUUGCCUGCUUGGUAAAGUAGGAGUUGUUGAUUGAAAAAAUGGCAGCCUGUGGACAUAAGUUGAACAACUUAUUGGGGUGUUACCAUUUAGUGGUCAAUUGUAUGUAAUAUGUACUUCACUGUGCAAUCUACUAAUAAAGUUUCAAUCAAUGAUUGAAACAU